rnacentral:rRNA from 1 species
AUUGAACGCUGGCGGAAUGCUUUACACAUGCAAGUCGAACGGCAGCACGGGUGCUUGCACCUGGUGGCGAGUGGAGAACGGGUGAGUAAUGUAUCGGAACGUAUCCAAUAAUGGGGGAUAACUAAUGGAAAGGUUAGCUAAUACCGCAUACGCCCGACGGGGGAAAGCAGCGGAUCUUCGUACCUUGCGUUAAUGGAGCGGCCGAUAUCUGAUUAGCUAGUUGGUGAGGUAAAGGCUCACCAAGGCUUCGAUCAGUAGCUGGUCUGAGAGGACGACCAGCCACACUGGAACUGAGACACGGUCCAGACUCCUACGGGAGGCAGCAGUGGGGAAUUUUGGACAAUGGGGGCAACCCUGAUCCAGCCAUUCCGCGUGAGUGGAGAAGGCCUUCGGGUUGUAAAGCUCUUUCGCAAGGGAAGAAACGAUACAGUCGAAUAAACUGUGUUAAUGACGGUACCUUGAUAAGAAGCACCGGCUAACUACGUGCCAGCCGCCGCAGUAA